AGAAUGACUCUCGGCAACGGAUAUCUAGGCUCUUGCAUCGAUGAAGAACGUAGCGAAAUGCGAUACUUGGUGUGAAUUGCAGAAUCCCGUGAACCAUCGAGUCUUUGAACGCAAGUUGCGCCCGAAGCCAUCAGGUUGAGGGCACGUCUGCCUGGGCGUCACAC
rnacentral:rRNA from 1 species